UUUUUCUUUCACCGGAGCUUGCUCCACCGAAAGAAAAAGAGUGGCGAACGGGUGAGUAACACGUGGGUAACCUGCCCAUCAGAAGGGGAUAACACUUGGAAACAGGUGCUAAUACCGUAUAACACUAUUUUCCGCAUGGAAGAAAGUUGAAAGGCGCUUUUGCGUCACUGAUGGAUGGACCCGCGGUGCAUUAGCUAGUUGGUGAGGUAACGGCUCACCAAGGCAACGAUGCAUAGCCGACCUGAGAGGGUGAUCGGCCACACUGGGACUGAGACACGGCCCAGACUCCUACGGGAGGCAGCAGUAGGGAAUCUUCGGCAAUGGACGAAAGUCUGACCGAGCAACGCCGCGUGAGUGAAGAAGGUUUUCGGAUCGUAAAACUCUGUUGUUAGAGAAGAACAAGGAUGAGAGUAAAAUGUUCAUCCCUUGACGGUAUCUAACCAGAAAGCCACGGCUAACUACGUGCCAGCAGCCGCGGUAAUACGUAGGUGGCAAGCGUUGUCCGGAUUUAUUGGGCGUAAAGCGAGCGCAGGCGGUUUCUUAAGUCUGAUGUGAAAGCCCCCGGCUCAACCGGGGAGGGUCAUUGGAAACUGGGAGACUUGAGUGCAGAAGAGGAGAGUGGAAUUCCAUGUGUAGCGGUGAAAUGCGUAGAUAUAUGGAGGAACACCAGUGGCGAAGGCGGCUCUCUGGUCUGUAACUGACGCUGAGGCUCGAAAGCGUGGGGAGCGAACAGGAUUAGAUACCCUGGUAGUCCACGCCGUAAACGAUGAGUGCUAAGUGUUGGAGGGUUUCCGCCCUUCAGUGCUGCAGCAAACGCAUUAAGCACUCCGCCUGGGGAGUACGACCGCAAGGUUGAAACUCAAAGGAAUUGACGGGGGCCCGCACAAGCGGUGGAGCAUGUGGUUUAAUUCGAAGCAACGCGAAGAACCUUACCAGGUCUUGACAUCCUUUGACCACUCUAGAGAUAGAGCUUCCCCUUCGGGGGCAAAGUGACAGGUGGUGCAUGGUUGUCGUCAGCUCGUGUCGUGAGAUGUUGGGUUAAGUCCCGCAACGAGCGCAACCCUUAUUGUUAGUUGCC
rnacentral:rRNA from 1 species